ACAGAAGGCGGUGAAAGGGCAGGAAGGGGUGGAGAGGUGGCGGCGUCGUCGUCCGCAGGAAGUGCUGCUGCAGCUCAGGGCCCUGGAAGGAGAGAGGAGGGCGGCUCUUGCUCUGUGGUGCCCGUCGCCAGGAUCAUGGCUGCUAGAAACCAAGGCACGGAGCUAGACCUCGGUUGGCUUGCAAGAGUUCGGGUGAAUCAGCCAGCAGUCCUAAGGAGUGCAGAGCAAAUUCGGACAUGCAGGGCUGUGAAAAAGGAUUGGCAGGCAGCUUGGCUUCUGAGGGCCGUCACCUGCAUAGACCUUACCACCCUUUCAGGCGAUGAUACCCCUUCCAAUGUCUACAGGUUGUGUUAUAAAGCCAAACAUCCCAUCAGAGAGGAUCUGUUGCAAGCAGUGAACAUGCAUGAUAAAGGCAUUACAACUGCUGCUGUUUGUGUCUAUCCAGCUAGAGUAGGUGAUGCUGUUAAAGCACUCAGGGCAGCUGGCUGCAACAUUCCAGUUGCUUCAGUGGCUACUGGGUUCCCAGCAGGACAGACAGCUCUGAAAACUCGCUUAGAGGAGAUCCAACUAGCUGUGGAAGAUGGUGCCAGAGAGAUUGACGUUGUCAUUAACAGAACCUUAGUACUGACGGGACAAUGGGAAGGCCUCUAUGAGGAAAUCCGUCAGUUCCGUCAAGCCUGUGGAGACGCUCAUAUGAAAACCAUCUUGGGAACUGGAGAGCUGGGAUCCCUCACUAAUGUCUACAAAGCCAGUCUUGUAGCUAUGAUGGCAGGUUCUGAUUUUAUUAAGACCUCUACAGGAAAAGAAGCUGUUAAUGCUAUCAUUCCGGUAGGGCUGGUUAUGGCAAGAGCCAUUCGAGACUUCCACUGGAAAACUGGCUAUAAGGUUGGAUUUAAGCCUGCAGGAGGCAUUCGCAGUGCCAAAGAUGCUCUUGUCUGGCUCUCCCUGAUAAAAGAAGAACUUGGGGCUGAGUGGCUGAGACCAGAACUAUUCCGCCUCGGUGCCAGUUCUUUGCUGGGAGAUAUUGAGAGACAGAUUUACCACCAUGUGACUGGCAGAUACGCAGCUUACUAUGACCUGCCUAUGGCUUAGACCAGAGACUAAUUCAGGAUACCUGGGGGGGGAGAGGAGCGGGGGAUACGGAAUCCCUCUCAUAUGUUCUUGAAUCUCUGUCUGCAACCAAACCCAAGGAGUGCUUAACAAAAGGAUUAAAGGGCUGGUGCUCCCAUUUCACGGUUUCAUUGUACUAAGGAGUGUACCCCGUUCUAACGUGGAGGGGAAGACAUGACAACAGGCAAGAGUGAAGGCCCUUCUGUGGCUUGGAAUUUCCAACUGUGUUGAGUACGCAGCGGGAGAAGCAGAGCAUCUAAUACUUUCGGAGGACAAGAAGCUUGGAGCCUUGCUUAGGUCGGUCUGGCGCUCAGUGUCCAAUAUCCUCUGUUUGAGGGUUGUUUUCACCUUGCCACAGGCCAUAGCAAGUAGGAGAGGAGGGGGAAAGCUCAUCAGCACCACUUUAGUCCAGACGGCCCGUUUCCAAGAGGAUUGAAAACUGUCCUGCAGGGUCAAAGGGGCCAGGCCCUGAGGGCUGAAGGAUCGUUUAAGCCAUAGGUUAAGAAUGGUCAUCCACACUCUGGCCUUGACCUUUAUCGUACCAGUUUCCAAUUGCAGGGUAGUAUUAGAGAGACACAGGAUGGAGAUCCAGGAUGGCACUUGUAGGGCCGCUCUUAGAAGUUUGGACUGGACUCAUUCUAGUGAGGCAGAACUGGAGAGGGGACCCGAGUGGGCACUGUAGAGUAAUUGUGCCAGCGGCUUAGCCUCAAAUAAUUUGAGCGCUGCAGGUACAUAUUGGCCACCUCUAGUCCACAGAAACUUCAGGAUGGCAGUUGAUCUCCUCUGUGCAGUAAGGGUGACAUGAUCACAAUGGGCCUUUCUUGAGCCAGAGGCAUGGAGGACCACCCCCCAUGUAUGUAAAACAACCAGCCUCCUUAACCCUGUGGCCAUCAAUACUCCAGGAACAGAUCUUGGGUCUUCUAGCAAAGGCCAUGACUUUUUUGUAAUUUGGUCAUUGAUUUCAAGUUAUGCACUCUUGCAAUACUGAGCUAGCACCGCCAACGCCCUUGAGAAGAUUGCAGCAUCAUCGGUGUAGAGAAGAGUAGAGAUGCUUCUUUCGGCCAGCUUGUGGGGAUGGAAAUCUGGGUUACUAAGGUGGCUCACCAUGUUGUCGAUGUAGAAAUUGAAAAGAAGUGGGGCCAGGAUGCAUCCCUGUUUGACUCCCUUCUGCGUCGAGACAGAGUUCGCGAGGUGUCCUUGAGGGCUACACCUUACCUUGAGGGACAUGUCUGUGUGGAGGCUGCGGGUUAGAUAUCUGAAAUGGUGCAGUCCAUUCUAGCAGUUCAGGACUCUUCUACCUCAUUUGGUUGCAUGCGUAGACCAGGGCUGACUGGGGAACAAGUGGAGGCUUCGGUGCACAUCCUGAGCUUCACCACAAGCAGGAGCUUCCCUAUUCAUUUUCGAAUUGGGGAGUGCUCUGUAUGUGCGUGGCAUCAUUCCCCAUUCUUGUAACUAGUUUGCAGGCAAGUCUGUUGUUCCUGUGGAGCCCCCUUGCACAUAAGAGCCCCACAAAACUCCAGAGUGUAGCACACAAGUCUGCCCAUGAGCACCCAGCCUUUUAUAGUCCAUUUUAAUCCUUCAUAGGGUAAUGAGGGGUGGGGGAGGAACAAAACUGGUAUACAAAUAUUGUAAAUAAAAUAAAUAAAUGGCCAUAAAUGCCUUGAAUCUGCACCUUUUUUUUAAGAAGAAAGUUUCUACUUUGUGAAAUCUUUUAAGUCAUGUUUUCAACUUUGACUUUGCAGAAAUAAAUUGCUUGACAUUUUAAGAACAUAUGUUUAAAUAAAAGUAUAAUCUGUA